CGCAAAGUCAAAAUGUUCAUCUCUCUCCAUUUCUCUCUGCCCCUUCAUGACCCCAUCUUCUCUCUCUCAACUCCAAACCUUGAUAGCCACUGCCUAAUAUCGCCGCCGGUGAUAGAGAUAACCUGCCGAUCAUUUCCAGUUCCGACGAGAACAACCUUUUUCUCGUCAGAAAAUGCCCAAAACUGUCUCUCUUUCUUGUUGUUUCCAACCACCAACAUCAGAAGUUUUCUCGCCACUUCUAACACCUGACGUUGCAAGAUGGUUUUCUUCUCUCUUUUUGAAUUUAUUUUCUGAAUUUUUCUGUUUACAUAUGUGUUUCGUUUUGUUUUUAUAAAUUGACAUAUACAUUCAUAUGUAGAAAGGAAACUUGUACCGUUUGAUAAAAUGCUUCAGUGAGGAUGGAAAUGGAUGCACUAAUAAUACAGUAAAAUGGUUUUUUUUUUUUUUUCUUUUCAAAAAAAUGUUAUUUUGGAUUAGAUUAAAAGUGGUUAGUAUGAUGUAGUUUUAUAAGUAGAGAAAUAAAGCUCUUUAUUUGGUGGAUGUGCUUGAGUUUCAGGUAUUAUUUAUUAGUUAGAUUUUUUCUUUUUCAGCUUUGCAUUUUAAAGAUGGUUUCUUUUAGAUGCAUUUAAGUUUGCAAUAUGUGUUGGCUUACUUGGAAUUUUCACAAUUUCUUUCAUUCCUUGUAAUAAUAUUUUUUUUCAUGGUGCGGGGAUGGAUGUGAUGCUUUUGUUCCGUUGUUUUUGAUGAAGGAAUUGAUUUUGAUAAAUAGUUUCUUCCUAAGGUAUUCAAUCUAUCCCUUUGUCAUUUUCUUAGUUUUAGUCUUUCGUUGAGUUAUUAUGGAAAAUUGUGAUAUUUUGUUUUUGGAUUUUGCCUCUGUUUUGUUCUGUAUUCUGAGCUCUGUUUCAUUUGGCUUAUGUAUCAUAUUAGGCUCAGCCAAAAUCAUUUCAAAGUUCACUUUUUUAAUGUACAAAACAAUCCCAUUUUUAUAAAUAAAUAAUUAAAAAAAAAUACUGAAAAAUAAGCUGUACCAAACGGGCAUUGAGUGAGACAGCUUUCAUUCAUUUGGGUUCAAAAUAAUAUGUUAUCUAAAUUCAAAUUUACACAUUUAUUUUCUUUCUACAAAUUCCCAACAAUCAAUAGGAUAAAAAUUUACUUGCUGGUUUUCCUUGACACAGUUAUAAGUGGUGUAUAUUGAUAAAUAUGACAGAUUUUGUUUGUUGUUUGGGAACUCAAAUCAAUUCUUUGUUAUCUUUUUCUUAUGGAUUCAAUCGAAGUACUGUGUAUGAAACUGAAAAGUACUGUGAUAUAUUCUAAUUGCAAUCUAUAACCUGAACUUUUGCUCAAUGUGUGGGACUGGAGAUAUGUUCUGUUUUGGACUCAUGAACAAUGGUAAUUUAAUCACUGAUAUAUUGGACACUCAGGAUAGCUACAAUGUGAUCAACUGUGUUGCUAUAGUGACAAAUCUUAUAAUAAUUACUACAACUACAACUACAACAUAGAUUUUGAGAAAUUGGUGUUUGGUGAUGUUAAGAUCUUAUCAGUUAGACAUGUAAAGGGAAAAAUGGUGGUGAGAAUGUGAAGAGUAAUAUUGGUAGUAUGAGAAUGUUUAUUUGUUGAAUUUGCUUAAUGAUACAUUUCAAAUGAAAUUUGAACUUGGGGUUUGGAUGCAUAAAAAUUCCAAGUUCAAAGUUUCUGACAAAUUUUGAAAUAUAACGUUUACCCAAAAAAGGGAUAUCGGCAGGUUAAAAUUUUAAUUAUCAACUCCAAAGUAAAAUCUCACUUCAAAAUCUGGAAUUAAAAGUUUCAGACGCAAACCAAUUAUUCUAAGUCUUGUUGACAAACCGAGGAGGUUACAUAAACUAUAGUAUAUCAUGAGUUCAAUGUGAACUUCAAGUUGAAGCUAGCUAAAUCAAAUAUGUUUAUGGUGAAGCACUUAAUGGCUAUGGCUAAGUAACCUUCCAUGGAAAAAAACUUCUGAUCUGCAUACAUGAUCCAGAACCAGGCUGUCCUUGCAUACGCAUGAUAGCCUUUGCAAGAGAAUAUGGCUGUGUUAGUUGAUUUUUGUGGUGUAUUUUUGAAUAUACUAGAAGCAUAUAUACUCAUUUUGGUUUGUAUUUGAUAAGUACACUCAAAAUUGGAUGUGGCCCUGUUGACAUCCAUUAUCAUUCGCUUUAGUUCUUUUACUUUUCCAGUCCUCCUUCUACACACCCCCCCCCCCCUUCUCUAAUUAUCUCAGAAUUGAUUUCAAAUACAGGCCACAGUUUCUUUUCAGUGCAAUGCUUUUGAGUGCAAAAGCAUUGGGUAGAAUCUGGGAUGAUCUCAUUUAUUCCAAGGCGAUAAAAAGAUCAAGUCACAUCAAAUUUUAACCAUUAAUAUGCAUUAUCACAUAUUAUGACAUAAACCUUGUAAUUACGAUUAAUUAACUUUGAUUUGUCUUGUGUCUAGUUUUCUAUAAAAUUUGAAUUUUGGCAUCUUCAUCAACUUUAAGCAUAUAAACUUACUUUUGGUUUCCUGUGAGUCGGCUGGUAAUGCAGGUAGUUCAGAGUUGGCUCCUCAAAAACAAUUCUGGAACGGUAUUUGGCACCUGCAAGUUCCUAAUAUGAUCAAGCAUUUUGUUUGGCAAGCUUGUAACACUGUUCUGCCAACGAGUAAUCUCUUCCAUCGACAGAUCACUCCUUCGGCCAAUCGUGCUCUCCGCCAGUCUCUCCCAGAAGAUCCUCUUCACGCAUUCUGGUUAUGCAAGGAGGUGGAAUGUGUGUGGCAUCCCUGCACCUGGGCUUCCCAAUCAGUCUCUUCUCCUCCAGAGAAUUUUUGUGAUUUACUCAAUUGUUUCUUACGAUUCCAUGAUGAUUUUCGAAAGGAAAUUUUUGUGAUUGCAGCUUGGUUUUUGUGGAAUAGGAGGAAUGCUCUUCAUUUCGGUCGGACAGCCCAACCUCUAGCCAGCAUUCUCUCUAUGGCUGGACAUGUACUCCAGGAAUUUCUUGCAGCCCAGGAUCCCAAACCACCGGUGUCUCGGCCUCAUCCCUUGAUUCAAUGAGCAAACUAAAAUCACCCUUCUCAGUAAAGCCUCUAGGCACAAAUCCAUCCAUUUUAUGAAAACAUGGCACCGGUUUCUCCUAGUCUAAUUUUUUCACUGUGUUUGAUUUUCAUACUCAUUCCUCAAGCCACUACUCAGCCAAGCUUCAUAUGCCACACUUGUUCACCUGGCCUGGGUAACUAUACCACUAACGUGCCUCUUAUGGCCAGGACCCUGACAAAGUCUAUGCAAUUGGACUCUGUAGAGGAGAUCUUAAUCAAGAUGUUUGCCGAAGUUGCCUUAAUGACUCCACACUUGCUCUCAUACAACUUUGUCCCAAUCAAAAGGAGGCAAUAGGUUGGUACGACAAUUGCACUUUGCGCUUCUCAAACCACUCCAUAUUUGGCAGCGAGGAUGAUAUUCCUUCUUGCUAUAGGUAUAACCGAAAUAACGUGUCGGAUGUAGAUGGCUACGGAAAAGCGGUCAAGUCCCUGUUAGGCCCUGAUAUGCAGCUCCUUCUCAACUGUUUUUAAGACCGGCAACUCAGCAGGUAUAGGGGUCAUAGCUCGAGACUGGAGAGGUGAAGCUAUCGGUGCUCUUUCCUUGUCCAUUCCCCUAGCGCAGAAGGUUGCAGAAAUGGAGGCUCUCGCAUGCCGUAGGGCGGUGCAGUUCGCUGGAGAAAUCGGUCUUCAGAGAGUUAUUUUUGAAGGUGAUGCGGCUGUGGUUAUCAACGCCAUCUCUCAAGGGAAUGAUGCAUUGUCUGCUUAUGGUAAUAUCAUUGACGAUUUUCGCUGCCUUGUUGCUGUUUUUCAGGUUUUUCAGUUUUGUCAUGUCCAUUGUAAUUGAAACGUUUUUGCAAUGCAGUAGCUAGAAAAGCAAAAAACCAGUUGGGGUUCCAGGUUUGGAUGGAAGAAAUGCCUGAGGAUAUUGCCCCCUUAAUUUUGUUUGAUGCUCAUUAGUUUGAUUGUUC